UACGUAGGGUGCAAGCGUUGUCCGGAAUUAUUGGGCGUAAAGAGCUCGUAGGCGGUCUGUCGCGUCGGCUGUGAAAACCCGGGGCUCAACCCCGGGCCUGCAGUCGAUACGGGCAGACUAGAGUGCGGUAGGGGAGACUGGAAUUCCUGGUGUAGCGGUGGAGUGCGCAGAUAUCAGGAGGAACACCGAUGGCGAAGGCAGGUCACUGGGCCGCAACUGACGCUGAGGAGCGAAAGCAUGGGGAGCGAACAGG
rnacentral:rRNA from 1 species